GAUCCUCUGCUUGUUACCGAGUCCCUAGCCCUGAACCUUGUCAUCAGUGUGGAACCGUUUCUGACAGAGCAGAGUGUCAGGGCAAGCCAAGUUCUUGAAUUAAUAUACGCUGCAUUUGUUGCUUGGUUCGGCAGCUACAUUGCUUGGUCGAUGAUUUUGGUGUUGACCGACAUGACAGAACAUACAGAAAUUCUCAGUCCUCUCCUGCUUGAGCAAUGA
rnacentral:lncRNA from 2 species